rnacentral:rRNA from 1 species
UAGGAAAUAAAAAGGCAUCUUUUUAUUUUUAAAAGACCUUUUUCGAAAGGUAUGCUUAAAGAGGGGCUUGCGCCAUAUUAGUUAGUUGGUAGGGUAAAAGCCUACCAAGACGAUGAUAUGUAGCUGGACUGAGAGGUUGAACGGCCACAUUGGGACUGAGACACGGCCCAAACUCCCACGGGAGGCAGCAGUAGGGAAUUUUCGGCAAUGGAGGAAACUCUGACCGAGCAACGUCGCGUGAACGAUGAAGUAUUUCGGUAUGUAAAGUUCUUUUAUUGAAGAAGAAAAAAUAGUGGAAAAACUAUCUUGACGCUAUUCAAUGAAUAAGCCCUGGCUAAUUAUGUGCCAGCAGCCGCGGUAAUACAUAAAGGGCGAGCGUUAUCCGGAAUUAUUGGGCGUAAAGGGUGCGUAGGCGGUUUGUUAAGUCUUUAGUUUAAUCUCAGUGCUUAACGCUGUUCUGCUAGAGAAACUGACUUACUAGAGUGAGAUAGAGGCAAGUGGAAUUCCAUGUGUCAGCGGUAAAAUGCGUAAAUAUAUGGAGGAACACCAGAGGCGUAGGCGGCUUGCUGGGUCUUUACUGACGCUGAGGCACGAAAGCGUGGGGAGCAAACAGGAUUAGAUACCCUGGUAGUCCACGCCGUAAACGAUGAGUACUAAGUGUCGGGGAAACUCGGUACUGAAGUUAACACAUUAAGUACUCCGCCUGAGUAGUACGUACGCAAGUAUGAAACUUAAAGGAAUUGACGGGAUCCCGCACAAGCGGUGGAUCAUGUUGUUUAAUUCGAAGAUACACGAAAAACCUUACCAGGUCUUGACAUACUCUGCAAAGCUGUAGAAAUACAGUGGAGGUUAUCAGGGAUACAGGUGGUGCAUGGUUGUCGUCAGCUCGUGUCGUGAGAUGUUAGGUUAAGUCCUAGAACGAGCGCAACCCUUGUCGUUAGUUACCAGCACGUUAUGGUGGGCACUUUAACGAGACUGCCAAUGAAAUAUUGGAGGAAGGUGAGGAUUACGUCAAAUCAUCAUGCCCCUUAUGAUCUGGGCUACAAACGUGAUACAAUGGCUGUUACAAAGAGUAGCUGAAACGUGAGUUUUUGGCCAAUCUCAAAAAAACAGCCUCAGUUCGGAUUGAAGUCUGCAACUCGACUUCAUGAAGUUGGAAUCGCUAGUAAUCGCAAAUCAGCAUGU